rnacentral:lncRNA from 1 species
UCUUUGUUAACUCUGAGUGUCCAAUAUUCUUUUCUUGUCCUUCAGAGAAUGACAGAGUUGGAAGGGACCACAGUGGCUAUAUAGUUUACCCUGUGUAAAAAUGGAGAUUUUGAACCCCAGACUUCAAUCCCCAGAAGUCCUUGGUAUUUCCCAGAAUUCCCUAUAAUCUCACAUGAGUCUCCACCUGGGUGAAAUCACAAUUAAUAUUUAAACUGGCAGUAAUGCCUACCUCUCCCUCUUCUAUGCUCUCUCUUCCAUUGCAAUGAUGUAGCAAGUAAGCUAAGCAUGGGGGUUCUGAAUUGGCUAAUCAGCCAUGGGCACUCUCUCUGCUCUCCAAUUUAUUCUCCACAUUGGUAUUCAUACUAUCCUCCGGUGGUAGUGGUAUCCAUAUCCUCCAAAUUGGCAUCCAUAAAGCACAAGAGUGCAUCAAGUUAGCUGUCCAUGGUUCUGAUCCUUGCAGGUGCUCUCGGCUCAGGAACUGUAACAACACUUCCACUGCUUCUGGAAAGGGCACGCUAAACAGAUGCCCAAUGGCCACCAUUACUAUGACUCCUUGGAUUGAAGUUCCUUUCACUUGGCACCACUCCCCAUAUUCCCCCAUUAGAAGGAAUUUGGGGUAUACUGAAGGGGACCUGGUGCUCACCACAGAAUCACAGAUGAUCAGAGUAGGAAGGGACUUUAGAAGCCAUCUGGUCAAACCUAUUCUUGAACAAGAAUCCCCUUCCAGGCCAUAUCCAACGAAUGAUCAUCUAACCUCUGCUUGAAGACCUCUAAGGAGGGGGGGAUCCACUAUUUCCUGAAACAACCAGU